ACACGGGGGGAGCGAGCGUUGUCCGGAAUUACUAGGCGUAAAGGGCAAGUAGGCGGAAUAAUUAGUCAGGUGUUAAAGGCGUCGGCUCAACCGGCGUACGGCAUUUGAUACUGUUAUUCUAGAGUAAGGUGGGGGAAGACGGAAUUCCUGGUGUAGCGGUGGAAUGCGGAGAUAUCAGGAAGAACACCGGUGGCGAAGGCGGUCUUCUGUACCAUUACUGACGCUCAAUUGCGAAGGUGUGGGUAUCGAACAGGAUUAGAUACCCUGGUAGUCCACACAGUAAACGAUAUGUACUAGGUGUUGGGGGAGAUGAUCUUUCAGUGCCGCAGCUAACGCGUUAAGUGCAUCGCCUGGGGAGUACGAUCGCAAGGUUAAA
rnacentral:rRNA from 1 species